rnacentral:rRNA from 1 species
AACGAACGCUGGCGGCAUGCCUAACACAUGCAAGUCGAACGAGACCUUCGGGUCUAGUGGCGCACGGGUGCGUAACGCGUGGGAACCUGCCCUUAGGUUCGGAAUAACUCCCCGAAAGGGGUGCUAAUACCGGAUAAUGUCUUCGGACCAAAGAUUUGUCGCCUUUGGAUGGGCCCGCGUUGGAUUAGCUAGUUGGUAGGGUAAAAGCCUACCAAGGCGACGAUCCAUAGCUGGUCUGAGAGGAUGAUCAGCCACACUGGGACUGAGACACGGCCCAGUCUCCUACGGGAGGCAGCAGUGGGGAAUAUUGGACAAUGGGCGAAAGCCUGAUCCAGCAAUGCCGCGUGAGUGAUGAAGGCCUUAGGGUUGUAAAGCUCUUUUACCCGGGAUGAUAAUGACAGUACCGGGAGAAUAAGCUCCGGCUAACUCCGUG